AUACCGCAUAGGACCACGGAGCUGCAUGGCUUUGGGGUGAAAGGAGCAAUCCGGUGUAAGGUGGGCUCGCGUCCCAUUAGAUAGUUGGUGAGGUAACGGCUCACCAAGUCGACGAUGGGUAGCCGACCUGAGAGGGUGAUCGGCCACAUUGGAACUGAGAUACGGUCCAGACUCCUACGGGAGGCAGCAGUGGGGAAUAUUGGGCAAUGGGCGAAAGCCUGACCCAGCAACGCCGCGUGAGGGAAGAAGGUCUUCGGGUUGUAAACCUCUGUCCUUGGUGAAAAGGAAGGAUGGUAGCCAAGGAGGAAGCCCCGGCUAACUACGUGCCAGCAGCCGCGGUAAUACGUAGGGGGCAAGCGUUGUCCGGAAUGAUUGGGCGUAAAGGGCGUGUAGGCGGCUGUAUAAGUCUGGAGUGAAAGUCCUGUUUUCAAGAUGGGAAUUGCUUUGGAUACUGUACAGCUUGAGUGCAGGAGAGGUUAUCGGAAUUCCCGGUGUAGCGGUGAAAUGCGUANAGAUCGGGAGGAACACCAGUGGCGAAGGCGGGUAACUGGACUGCAACUGACGCUGAGGCGCGAAAGUG
rnacentral:rRNA from 1 species